rnacentral:rRNA from 1 species
GAACCUUACCUGGUCUUGACAUCCCGGAGACCCUUAGGAAACUAGGGGUGCUCCAUCUGGAAGAAUCUGGAGACAGGUGCUGCAUGGCUGUCGUCAGCUCGUGUCGUGAGAUGUUGGGUUAAGUCCCGCAACGAGCGCAACCCUUGCCUUUAGUUGCCAGCAGUUCGGCUGGGCACUCUAAAGGGACUGCCGGUGUUAAACCGGAGGAAGGUGGGGAUGACGUCAAGUCCUCAUGGCCUUUAUGACCAGGGCUACACACGUACUACAAUGGCCGAUACAAAGGGCAGCGACACUGCGAGGUGAAGCCAAUCCCGUAAAAUCGGUCUCAGUCCGGAUUGGAGUCUGCAACUCGACUCCAUGAAGUUGGAAUCGCUAGUAAUCGUGGAUCAGCAUGCCACGGUGAAUACGUUCCCGGGCCUU